rnacentral:rRNA from 1 species
GAGGAAUAUUGGGCAAUGCCCGAAAGGGUGACCCAGCAACGCCGCGUGGAGGAUGAAGGUCGUAAGAUUGUAAACUCCUGUUAGAGGGGAAGAAUAACUAAGUUUGGAGCUUAGUAUGACUGUACCCUCAGAGAAAGCCCCGGCUAACUACGUGCCAGCAGCCGCGGUAAUACGUAGGGGGCAAGCGUUGUCCGGAUUUACUGGGUGUAAAGGGCGCGCAGGCGGAUGGGUAAGUCAGGGGUGAAAGUCUGCAGCUUAACUGUAGAAUUGCCUUUGAUACUGCUCAUCUUGAGUGUGGGAGAGGUUGAUGGAAUUCCAGGUGUAGCAGUGAAAUGCGUAGAUAUCUGGAAGAACACCAGUGGCGAAGGCGGUCAACUGGCCCAUAACUGACGCUCAUGCACGAAAGCGCGGGGAGCAAACA